rnacentral:lncRNA from 1 species
GACAAUCUGAUUUGAGCAACAGAAUUAGUACUCUUAUAAAAAUAUGAGAACACCACUUAGGAAAGAUCUGAAAUCACCACUUGACAUCGAAGCAACUUGAAUUACCAUAUACCAACAAAACAAAGGGUGAGGCUUAUGAAACAAGCCAGAACAAACUCAUGAGAAAGAUUUCGUCCGAUAUUUUCGUGGACAGGAUCGCACGGGCUCGAUCCUUACAGUAGCCAUCAAGUGCAAGGUAGUGCACCCGAUACGAAGCGUCCCCGAGUCGUAGCAAGCUACAAGGACUCUUUAAGACAUAACGUGUACCGCUGUAAGUCGACCGUCAACAAAUGAAUCCACAAGAUGUUGAACCCCAACCUAACAUCAUGCAUUUGUUGGAAGAUUGUCCUAUAAGCAACUACUUGAAUUCCCACCUAUGAAUUUCCGAAAUAUCUGGUCAUGCAAUCUGGUACAUGGAUACAAGGAGUAAUAAUCACACAACUCCUAUACUAACCCGUCACCUGUAUCACAUCCGUCAACACACGACCAGAAUCUCGGACCUUCAUCUACAAUAGACCCUCGUGAUCACAACGAUACAAAGUAUGGCAGUACUCCCGAACAAUCUGCACCAGUACUGGAGACAUCAGGGUUAUCUCGCCACUACUAGUAUUGAAGCAAUUACGAACAUCCUUCGUCCUGAGAUACUAAGGCAUCUGAAUGAUAACGGUGUGUUCAAGAAUCCCCUGGAGCUCAACUCCCCGGAAGAAAAUCAAGUCAGACAGGAGGCACCAAGAUAGAACUCCGUCACAUCGGCAUCAUAUAGAUCUCAAAAAUAUUCGCGUGAUCCUAAAAAAAGUUGAGUGAGAAGAGGAGUAGAAUAAAUUAUUACGUCAAGAUUCCUCACCAGAGCAUAGAAUAGGAGAAAAAAGAAUCCUACUCUCCAAUAUAUAACUAGACUCAAAGCAGUUUUUCACUAGACUCGACUCGGCCAAGUUCGAUCAAUCAAGGGGGCUUCUAGGUCGGUACUGCUCUGAUACCAACUUGUCACGCCCAAGAUGCGACCCUAUCCUCAAUUUGGCACGAAGCCCUCAUCAGGGAUAGAAGCGCAUCUCGUCGUGUCGCAAGAAUGGAUAUCGUUACAAGUACAUGUACUAAAAAGAGAUAUAUAU